rnacentral:rRNA from 1 species
AACGAACGCUGGCGGCAGGCUUAACACAUGCAAGUCGAGCGCCCCGCAAGGGGAGCGGCAGACGGGUGAGUAACGCGUGGGAAUCUACCCAUCUCUACGGAAUAACGCAUGGAAACGUGUGCUAAUACCGUAUACGUCCUUCGGGAGAAAGAUUUAUCGGAGAUGGAUGAGCCCGCGUUGGAUUAGCUAGUUGGUGGGGUAAAGGCCUACCAAGGCGACGAGCCAUAGCUGGUCUGAGAGGAUGAUCAGCCACACUGGGACUGAGACACGGCCCAUACUCCUCCGGNNGGCAGCAGUGGGGANUAUUGGACAAUGGGCGCAAGCCUGGUCCAGCCAUGCCGNGUGAGUGAUGAAGGCCCUAGGGUUGUAAAGCUNUUUCGCCGNUGANGAUAAUGACNGUAACCGGAGAAGAAGCCCCGGCUAACUUCGUGCCAGCAGCCGCCGUAAGA